UACGUAGGGAGCAAGCGUUGUCCGGAAUUACUGGGCGUAAAGCGUGCGUAGGUGGUCUGUUAAGUCUGAUGUGAAAGCCCUGGGCUCAACCUGGGAAUGGCAUUGGAUACUGGCAGGCUAGAGUGCGGUAGAGGAUGGCGGAAUUCCCGGUGUAGCAGUGAAAUGCGUAGAGAUCGGGAGGAACAUCUGUGGCGAAGGCGGCCAUCUGGACCAGCACUGACACUGAGGCACGAAAGCGUGGGGAGCAAACAGG
rnacentral:rRNA from 1 species